AGCGUGAUUACCUCCCAUGGAAGAGUGACACAUGAACGAGGGUUGCAGAAAGGCAAGCAAAACCAAUGCCAUAUGACAUAGCAAACAUGGUGCUAAGAUAAAGAGGGCCCUCACGCUCAUAAGCCUCCAUGUCAAGGUGAAAGUUGGAGUCUAUUAUAGCUGAUAUGUUGUACUUUCGACCAUUGGACAUGAAUAGUUCAUCUGAAAAUAUGGGAAAUCUUCUUGCGUUGUAAAGGUUUGUGGAAUAAGCAAUGGGCACAAUGGCAUAUAUGAAAAUGGCAAAACCGGCAGCAACAUUAGCCGUAGCAAACCAUGGACUGGCCAAAGGGCUACCAAGAUAAGAACAUAUACUUGACCAGUCAAAACCAAUAGCACCAACUCCAAGACCAUGCAACCCUGAACCUAACUGGUGUGCUAUUACGGAAGUGGGAAACAUCCAGCAAAUCCACGAAAUCGAUGUUAACGAAGGGAACAAGUAGCCAGGAAAAACAUAAUAAGCAAAACUGCAAAGAAAUGCUAUAAGGAAAAACUGAUUCCGAGUUAACGCUCCCUUUCGUCUCUCCUCUUUCUCAUGUAGCGCCCUGAAAUAAAUUAUGAAUGCAUGAGUUGUAAUAUUACUAUGCAACGCGGAAUUAGUAGUGCUGAUAUCUUCACACAAACAGUAAAAAAAUAUGUACAAGUAAAAAAAAUAUUUUUCUUAUUAUAAUCAUAUAGCUAUUUUUUUUAUAAUAAUAUAUUCACAACUCAUUUUUUAUAUAAUUAAUUACAACCCUUAAUUUUAUUAUUUUAAUAUUUUCAUAUCAUUUAAUUAUAAAUUUAUUUUUUAUUAUAUAUAUUUAUAUUUAAAUCUAUUACAUUAUACAACUUUCAUAAUUAUUAAAAUAUCAUUUCUCUUCAUAAUAUUUAUUUAUUAGGAUGUGAAAUGGAUAUUUUGUAAUGUGGUAUUAAGAUAUGCACCUUACUUAUUAGGGGUGUGACAACCCUCUGCUAGUACGUUUUGGUAACGGAAAAUGUUUUUAACACCAUAGUGAAAAACAUAUAUUUCACAAACAAACACUUAUACUAAUAUAAUUAUAUUAUGAAUUAAAAAUAAAAUAAAAAUAAAUAAAAUAUUAAUUUAUUAAAAUGUGAAAUUAUGUUUUUACUAUCAAUAUAUCAACACCCUUUGGCAACUUACACUUUUCAAUGUAUUUUUUAAUUCUUUUAAUCUAUUUAUUUAAUUAUAAUAAUUAAUAUUAUUUAUUUCAAUACAAAAUAAUAAUUAAAUUAAAUCUCACUUUAAUAUUUUAAUCAUAUAAGAUUUAAUAUAAAAAAUAAAAUAAUAUUAAUAAUACUUUAAUAAAUAGAAUGAUAUAGAAAAAAAAUGAUUAUAAAUAAAGUUUCUAUAUAAGGAAUGAGCAUCGUACCUGAAGAGCGAGACCUGAACAAGGUUUUGGGGCCACCACAUGGUAGCGGGUUCCACGAGGUAUUUUCGGAAUAUCCCGGCCCAACCGAAGCCCAAAACCUGAGACGUUAUAACUACCAAUAACGCCGCUAAAAUCGUUAAGUCCUUCUGGUAGAACACUUUAACGGCGCUAACGAAAUGGAUGGCGUAGACGCUAGCGGCUCCCGAACUGGCGAAGAUAGUGAUAAGCACGUGCUCCUUCACGUUGAACGACCCUGGGUUCAGCGUGAACUCCCACUUCGUCCCCUUCAUGAACACGCGCCUUGUCACCACCGCCGCCAUCAGGUGUCCCGCCGGCACCACCGCUAUCUGCGCCGAUAUCGCCGUCACCGAUAGUGGCUCCCUCCGGAAUCCGAAGAACUGGUUCAGGAAGGAGAGAAGCGCGCAAGCUAUGGUUCCCAAAAUCCAUGUCCUGAAAGUGAAGGAAGGCCGCGACGGAUCGUCGCUCACAGGAACCGUCAGCGCUACCUGCUCGAUAGGAGAAUUCUCGGCGGCCGGCGAGUUCUCCGCCACGGAGAUGGCGUCGCUGUUGUGAUGACGCCUUUUAACUGAAAAGUGAGUGAACGAAUAUGAGAAUUAGAAAGGAAAGCAUCACUGUUUGAAUCUCUUAAUAAAGAAAGAACAAAAAAGUUGUUUGGAUACUCAGAGAAAACGCACUUAAAGGAGAAUUGAUCUCAGGAUCAUUAGCCAUGUUGUUUCAAUUGGUUUUUUAUUCAUUUAAGCAUAACUCCCCACAUUUUUCUAUUAAAACAAAAAAUAAAAAAUAAUCAAAAAAAGAAUUACUAAAAUGGAAAUUAUUAUUAAAUUUUUAUAAUAUCGUUUAUUAUGGUAAUUUCUUUUAUAGGUAGUGAAGUAGAUGUCAUUGGAUGAUGAUGCUUGUCCUUUAUCACAGAUAAAGCCUUUGUAUUUGUUCCAGUUUUUGGGCAAGAUACAUUCACUGAGAAGCUCUGUUUUUUUUUCUUCAUACACAAUAUAUAAUGUUUGUCUCUUCUUGACUAAAGAGAAACUAAGGGAUGAACAAAUUACAAAUUUUUUUAGUUAUAUUUUUUUUAUGUGAUAAUUGAUAAUUUAAGUUGUAUAAUAAUAUUUAAUAUGAAUGUAUUUUAAAAAAAUAUAAAUAUAAAUAUGAUCUAAAAGAUAAGCAGAACUGGAAUUAGUGUACCCGGCAUACACCAGAGAGUUAUUGCCUUCGUUACCCACAAGGAGGAUAUUCCAUUCACGAAGACGGAGGGAUAAAAAAGUAUGCUUUAAUUCCCUUUUUAUUCCAUAUAAUUAAGAUAAAUAUUCAAUUUAUUAAGUAAUUUAAAAAAAAAAUAGGUUUUCACAAAUAAACAAUAAAAAGUAAAAUUUAUAUAUUUUACAAAGUUUUUUUUAGUUUCAAUUUGGAUUAGAUUAACUAGUUAUAUGAAUUGGAGAACUACGUAAAUAUAAUUUUAAAUUUUUUUUAUCCGUUUUUAAAUAUGAAGUUUAAAUUCAAGAAAAAAGUUUAAACACAAAUUAUAUAAACUUUAAAUAGUGAUAUUUUUUUUAUUGGAUGUGAUGUACGAUACUCUGAAAAGUAGGACAAAUCAACAUUUCUAGGCUGUUAUUGUAACUCAGAGAGAGGAAAGGAAAGGUUAUCAUAUUAACUGGUGUGUAUUACAAUGUGUUGAUAAAGAAGUAAUUUAUACACAAGGUAACACAUGGGUACCCUUAACACCCUCCCUUAAACUCAUGGUUGGAUUAGCCAUAAUCAUGAGUUUAUCCCGUACAUGCAGAAACAAUAUGCCAGAAACAGGCCUGGUAAGGGGAUCAGUAACUUGAAAGCGUGCUGGAAGAUGAAGAAGUUGAAUUUUUUGAUUACGAACUUGAUCACGAACAAAGUGGAGGUCCAAUUCAAAGUGUUUCGUUUUAGAGUGCAUAACAGGAUUUGCACUUAGCAGAACAACUCCAAGAUUAUCAGAAUACAACUUUGGUUUUGAACCUUGAAUGCACAACUCAUAAAGAAGAGAUUGAAUCCACACAAUUUCAGCAAGGAGAGUUGCAACUGCCCGGUAUUCUGCUUCCGUACUACUUCUGGAAACCGUUUUCUGUUUGUGAGAUUACCAGGAAACAAGAUUAGACCCCAUGUAAAUACAAUAGUCAGUGGUGGAUUUGCGGUCGUCAACGUCAACACCCCAAUCUGCAUCCGCAAAAACCAAUAAGAGAGGUCGUCGAGUUGUGGCGAAGAAGCAAUCCAUGUGUAAUGGUGCCAACUAAAUAACGAAGAAUUCUCUUCACAGCUUGCCAAUGGUGAAGUUUCGGAUCAUGCAUAAAAUGACAAACACGAUUAACAGAGUAAGAGAGUUUAGGCCUAGUUAUAAGAAGAUAUUGAAGUGUACAAACAACUGACCUAUACAAGGAAUGAUCAUUGAAUGAUUCAAAAGAAUUUUGUUGGAGACGCGAAGAGGAUGUCAUAGGCGUGGGUUGAGGUUUAGCAUGGAGCAUAUUUGUUUUCUGUAACAGCUCACGUAUGUACUAGUCCUGAGAGAGAUGCAUGUCACCAGUAGAUGUUCGAGAAACUUGAAUUCCUAAAAAAUGAUGAAGACUACCUAAAUCUUUUAAUGCAAAAGAAGAACGCAAAGUGGUAAUGAGGUUAGUAAUUUCAGUAGGUGAAGAUGCAGUGAUGAUUAUAUCAUCAACAUAAACCAGGACAAACAUAGUAUAAGACAAAGUGAAUUUAGUAAAUACUGAGGUAUCACUUACUGUAGAACAAAAACCAAAAUCACAUAAAGUUGUGCUAAGUUUAGAAAACCAGGACCUGGAUGCUUGCUUGAGGCCAUAAAUAGCCUUGAGUAAUUGACAUACAAGAGUGGGAUCAUGGGAGAUAAAACCUGGUUGUUGCUGCAUAUACACACGUUCAUUGAGAUCACCAUGGAGGAAAGCAUUAUCAAUGUCCACUUGACGAAUAGCCCAGUUAUUUGUAACAGCAUGCGAAAGAACAAUAUGAAUCAUGGUGGGUUUGACUACAGGACUGAAGGUCUCACUGUAGUCAAGUCCCUCAGUUUGAUUGAAGCCUUUGGCAACAAGGCGUGCCUUGCAACGUUGAAAGGAGCCAUCUGCAUGCAAUUUGGUUUUAAAAAUCCAUUUACAACCUACCAGAGAGGCAUUGGAUGGGAGAGCAGUGAGAGUCCACGUCUUUUUUUUAGGAGAGCUUGAUACUCAUCAGUCAUUGCUUGGGACCAUACAUGAGAAGUCAUAGCUUCCUUGACAAAAGAAGGAGGAGAAGGAAUAAUAGAAACAACAAUAUAAAUUUUGGAUUUAAUGAUGCCUACCUUGGCACGAGUGGUCAUGGGAUGAGUGUUAGUAGGAGGAGGAAUAGAAGGAAGACAUUCAAUAUUACCAAUUGCAGAAGCACCAAUGUCAGUAAUAGAAUUGCCAAUGGUACCAGUUGCAGAAGCACCAAUGUCAGUAGUAGAAUUGCUAUCAGAAACAACAUGCUCAUUAACAGAAUUAGUAUUUGUAUGAACAACAGUCAAAGUGGGUGAAAUAUCAUGUGUGUGCUUAUGAGAAAUAGUAGGCAUAACAAAACUAUUUGAGUCUUCAUUAUAUGGAAAAGUAGUUUCAUCAAAACGAGCAUGACGAGAAACAAUAGUCUUACCAGUGGACAGGAGACAUAUAUAGCCUUUAUUAGUUGGACUGUAUCCAAGAAAGAGAGAACAAUGUGAUCUAAAAUCAAACUUAUUAUUAUUAUAGGGGCGUAAAUUUGGAUAACAAGCACAACCAAACACUUUGAAAACAUUAUAAUCAGGUUUGCGUUUAAACAACCUAGCAUAAGGGUUAUCACCAUUCAACACAGGGGUGGGAAGAGCAUUGAUAAUGUGGGUGGAAGUGAUGAAGGCUUCUGCCCAGAAACGACGAGGCAAUGAAGCAGUGGCAAGAAGCGUUAGGCCCAUUUCAACAAUAUGCAUGUGCUUUCGUUCAACAGAUCCAUUUUGUUCAUGGGUGUAGGGACAUGUAAGUCUAUGGUGAAUGCCAUAAUGUUCAAGGAAAGGUUUAAGACAAAGAAUUUCUUUGGCAUUAUCAGUUUGAAUAGAGCAAAGUUUAGAAUUUGUUUGGUUUUCAGCAAAACUUUUGAAUUUUUUAAACACAGAGGAAACCUGAGAUUUAGUAUGAAGAACGUAUAUCCAUGUAUAUUUGGUGUAAGCAUCAAGAAAAGAGAUGUAAUACCUUGCACCAUUGGAAGCAGGUAUAGGAGUAGGACCCCCUACAUCAGCAAACACAAGUUCCAAUGAACGAGAGUAAAUGGUAAUAGAAGAAGUAAAAGGAAGCUGUUUAUUUUUACCAAGCAUACAAGCAGAGCAAAAUUUGAUAUCAGAAGAACAACGUAUAUUACAAUGCUGUAAAAUUUGUUUUAAUGUGCCAGAAUGACAGUGACCAAAACGUUCAUGCCAGAUAUUGGCUGUGAGUUUAUUAUCUACAAAUGAAGUAUGAAAAACAGAGGACAUAUGAGGAGUGUGCAUGAUUGGAAAGGUGUAGAGACCAUCCUUAAGAAUGCCGCGAAGAAGAACUUUGUUCGUAGCCUGAUCAACAACACAACAAUGGUUAGCAUGAAAUUGAAAAUACACAUGAUUGUCACGAGCAAACUGAGAAACACUAAGUAAGUUCUUGGUUAUCAGCGGAACAUGUAAUAGAUUGCACAAUAAUAAGGGUUUAUCCGUGAGAGAAGAACGAAAAAUUGCAGACCCAGUAUUAGCAAUAAACAAACCUGAGCCAUUACCCAUUUUAACAGUUUCAAUGUCGUUGUAAGGUUGUUUGGUUGAGUAGACAGUGGGAUCUUUCGUUACAUGAUGUGUAGCACCACUGUCGAGGUACCAAAGUGGAUCCUCAGUGGUGGAAUGAAUGCCCAGAAGAGACGCAUCGCUGGGUUCAGGGUCUGAGAUUGAAAACUGAGAAAAAUUAGCACGAGGAGGUGGAUUAGGUUUGUGGUCAUACCAUUGCCAACACUAAAGAGCAGCAUGACCAUAUUUGCCACAAACUUGACACGUUGGUUUGGAAGAGGUCCAAGAACCACGAGCUUGAGAUCGGGAGAAGUGAGAACCACGUGCAAAAUUUUGGGAGCGAGAAAACCCACGACCACCACGAUUGCUAUGGAACUUGAGAUUGGCUUUGUCAUUGGUGGGAUACGAAGGCGUCCAAGUUGAGAGAGCGGCAAUGGCAGGAAAACUGAGAGGAUCGAGUUGAUGAUGGCGUUCAAGACGUUCUUCUUGUACCAGAAGCAGAGCUUCAAUCUUUGCAACUUUGUAAGGAUCAGUUCUAGACAGAAUGGAAGCAACAAAGGGAUCAAAAUCAGGAGGAACACCAUCAAGAAUGGUUUCAAUGUGAUCUUCAACAGAUAUUGGGGCACCAACGGCAGCCAGCGCAUCCACCGCGCGUUUGAUAUCCAAAACAUAUGCGGAGAUAGAAAGAUCUUUUCUUUUAUUCUUUAAAAGGAGUAUGAGAAGAAAAAUACGUGUUUAGCGUCUGCCAAAUCUGUGUUGUAGAGGUAAGACCCACCAUUUGGGUUAAAAUCAGAGUGGUCAUGGACGCCAGAAGCCACGCAACCAACAAAUUAUCUUGUUGCUUGUAAGAGAUGAAUGGAAGAUUGGGACUGAGGGUUCCAUCGGCCGUAGAAAGACAGCGCGGAGGAACGUUAGUUCCGUCAAGAAACGAGGAGUGCAGCAACCCAUCAACAGUGGUCAGAACCUGUUGUUUCCACAAUAGAAAAUUUUCGUCAUCCAGUUUGAGCAUAAUAGGAGUGGUAAGGUGAUGUAGGGAGACGGAGGAGGAACUCUUGGUGGGGAGAACCUGGGUGGACGAAGAUGAUGAUGUAGAAGAAGAGGAAGAAGAAGGAGCAGAAGCCAUGAAAGAAAAGCGGAAAAAAAAAACUCUCUAGCUCAUGAUACCAUGUUAUUGUAACUCACAGAGAGGAAAGGAAAGGUUAUCAUACUAACUGAUGUGUAUUACAAUGUGUUGAUAAAGAAGUAAUUUAUACACAUGGUAACACAUGGAUACCCUUAACAUAGGCUCAUGUAUCUCAAUUCAUAUAACAAUUUUGAAUUUUAUAUCUUCAAGGAUACAAUGUAAAUACAUCAUCAAUCAUAAAUAAAUCCAUUCUUUUAUAAAACUUACACAACCUCUACAGUCAAAGAAGAAAGAAUCAUGGCAGCAUCUAUGGACAUCUUUGCCAAGUCCAUGGCUUUAAAUUGAGUCCACGGCAACAUGCUUGCAGUUUGCAAGGUACCUGCAACAUCUUUGUGGUAACAGUUGCAGCUAGAUCAACCUGCCUGCAAGGCACUCUCAACUACAAUUUACAACCAAGGCUGCAUUAACAGUUUAACACCAUUGUAUCAUUCACAAGCUUAGUAAAGAGGACACCCUUCAGAUUCAACACCUGGAGCAGUUGGACAUGAAGCUAAUGGGCACCCAUCUGAAUCACUGCCCCACCAGUUUAGGCUGAUAUGUUCCAUCCCCAAGCACAAGUAGAGCAAAACCCCCAUGAAGGCUAAACCAGCAUCAAGUGCCCCAGAUAAGACAUAGUUGUGUCGGCUCCACCAACCACGAUAGUAACGGUAAACAACAAAUCCUGAGACAAAUCCAACAAUGACCCAACUGGUGUAGUUUACUGCUGUAGCUGGAGGCAUAUCAGAUAAUGCACCCAAGAGCACAGGCACAGUGAUAAGCCUGAUCCAUUGUUUUUGAGGCAAGGCCUUGUGUGCUAGCCAAACUAAGAAAGGAGCUAUUGCUCCAGCCAAGAAAAACCAGUUAAUAGCCGAGUAGUGUCCAAGAUCCCCAAAAGUUCUACGGGGCCCUAUCAAACCCCAUAUCACAGACGCGUCAUAGAACACAUGAUCACCAGGACAAGUCCAAGGACUUCCUGCUGGAAGCAAUGCUCGUUCGCAUAUAUUUGGAACAGUGUUCAUGAGCCACCAUGCUGUUAGUAAAUGCACCACACCAGACAUUAAGGUGCCAACUACCUACAGAAGCAAGUAAGGGGGUUAUGAUACAUGAUUUACUAAUAAUUAGGUUAGUGUAUGUUUAGAUUGAAGUUUGAAGACUUAAAUUUGAAGAAACUUCAUUUUGUAAACUGAGUAUAACUCGUUCUUCUCUUUCAUUUCAAAUUGAGUUUGUUUGAACUAUAAAAUUGUGACAAAACCUAAUUUAUAAUAAUAUAGGAUCCAACUAAAAACCAAACAAGUUUUUCGGUUGUUAUUUUGAACGUAUGUCUGAAUCAAACAUGUCCUCAGACUUUGAAAGGUCAUGUAACAGAAAAACAAAAUAAAUAAAUAAAAAGAAUCACUUCUUUUUGUUUUUUCUCUGUUUUUGAAAAGAGGAAGAGAAGGUGGGCAAACCUGUGCCAAGAACAUUUCUCUAGGAGGGAUCUUCAUGUAAUGGCCAAGCUUAAAAUCUUGUAAAAAGAAAAUUGCCUGCUUCAUGCUCACAUUACCAUACACUUUAAACAACAUGUUGGCAACCGGAUAUCCUGGGUAGAUGUAUCCAAUUAUGUAUUCUGUUAUUAUAUUCAAAGCUGGUGCCUUCACGACAUGGAAACUUAGUUACUGUUAGGCUAUGUGAUUGAUAACGAAGGGGAAAAAAAAACUAUUUAAGUAAUAUGCAGUAUUUGGAAUAUGAAAGGUACCACCAAUACUGUAUUUACAUUAAUUAAGACUAAUAUGUUGUGCAAUCACUAUUUUAGUCACACCAAUCCAACCGUUAAACUGGCAGUUAAUUUAAACCACUGGGCUGAACUUGAAGCAAACAAAAAGUAGUACUUGGGUAUAAUUUAACUGUCAAGAAAUUGCACAUCCUUGUGACAUCAAUUUAAUGUUGUACCACAAACUUUUAUCAAUUAACUUUACCAUUACCGAGAAUUUUAUAACUUGUGUACCUGAUUUGUGGUGGCUCUAAUUACUCCAAUGGGAAGAGUAAAUGACAUGGCAACAACACAAGCUAACACUACACCCCACCAUGGUAGUUGGAGUUCAUUGUUGAAAUAUUCACAUAUAAAUAUAGUUGCAACGAUGUUGAACAGAAGAAUGCAAAGAAACCACCAUUCUGGAACUUGUUUGUAGUUCUUUCUCAUGAUCUUCGUGUGUAUAUCUAUCUUAUUCUCUUGGAAAGCAGACUUACUUAGUCUCAAUAUUUCACUGCAGUAUUAAGUCAACCAAUUCAACUACAGCGGCAGAUUAGUUCAUACAAUUAAAACUUCCAAUGGAAUACAUAGCGUGAUUACCUCCCAUGGAAGAGUAACACAUGAACGAGGGUUGCAGAAAGGCAAGCAAAACCAAUGCCAUAUGACAUAGCAAACAUGGUGCUAAGAUAAAGAGGGCCCUCACGCUCAUAAGCCUCCAUGUCAAGGUGAAAGUUGGAGUCUAUUAUAGCUGAUAUGUUGUACUUUUGACCAUUGGACAUGAAUAGUUCAUCUGAAAAUAUGGGAAAUCUUCUUGCGUUGUAAAGGUUUGUGGAAUAAGCAAUGGGCACAAUGGCAUAUAUGAAAAUGGCAAAGCCAACAGCAACAUUAGCCGUAGCAAACCAUGGACUGGCCAAAGGGCUACCAAGAUAAGAACAUAUACUUGACCAGUCAAAACCAACAGCACCAACUCCAAGACCAUGCAACCCUGAACCUAACUGGUGUGCUAUCACGGAAGUGGGAAACAUCCAG
rnacentral:lncRNA from 1 species